rnacentral:rRNA from 1 species
CCUACGGGGGGCUGCAGUCGAGAAUUAUUCACAAUGGGGGAAACCCUGAUGGUGCGACGCCGCGUGGGGGAAUGAAGGUCUUCGGAUUGUAAACCCCUGUCAUGUGGGAGCAAAUUAAAAAGAUAGUACCACAAGAGGAAGAGACGGCUAACUCUGUGCCAGCAGCCGCGGUCAUACAGAGGUCUCAAGCGUUGUUCGGAAUCACUGGGCGUAAGGCGUGCGGAGGCUGUUUGAUAAGUCGUGUGUGAAAGGCCCGGGCUCAAGCCCCGGAUGGCCCAUGAUACUGCGCGACUAGAGUAAUGGAGGGGGAGCCGGAAUGCAUGGUGUAGCAGUGAAAUGCUUAGAUAUCG